GCUCCCGUAGCUCAGUGGAUAGAGCACCCGCCUCCUAAGCGGGGGGUCGCAAGUUCAAGUCUUGCCGGGAGCA
rnacentral:tRNA from 1 species